rnacentral:sRNA from 1 species
UCACAUCAGGCACAGUUACAGGGGGUUC